ensembl:misc_RNA 7SK 7SK RNA
AGAUGAGAGGGUGAUCUGGCUGUGAUGUCUAUCACUCUAUUGAUGGUCUGGGUUGAUUCUGCUGAUCUGGCUAGCUAGGUGGGUGGACCCAUCCUCCCUCACACUCCAUUUGUGGAUCCCUCCUAAAGCUAUACCCUCGGUUGAAGAGGACAACCAUCCCAGAUUUGGGAGGACCGUUCUUCUCUAAAGGGCACACAAGUAGUUGUGCUUCCCUUCUAGAACCUCCAAACAAACUUUCAAAAAAUGAACGAAGAGACAGAAAUACAUAUGUGUAUAAUACACCUCAGAAAAUAUUGUAUGCAUCCUACAUUAGCUG